UCGGCAAUGGACGAAAGUCUGACCGAGCAACGCCGCGUGAGUGAAGAAGGUUUUCGGAUCGUAAAGCUCUGUUGUAAGUCAAGAACGUGUGUGAGAGUGGGAAGUUCACACAGUGACGGUAGCUUACCAGAAAGGGACGGCUAACUACGUGCCAGCAGCCGCGGUAAUACGUAGGUCCCGAGCGUUGUCCGGAUUUAUUGGGCGUAAAGGGAGCGCAGGCGGUCAGGAAAGUCUGGAGUAAAAGGCUAUGGCUCAACCAUAGUGUGCUCUGGAAACUGUCUGACUUGAGUGCAGAAGGGGAGAGUGGAAUUCCAUGUGUAGCGGUGAAAUGCGUAGAUAUAUGGAGGAACACCAGUGGCGAAAGCGGCUCUCUGGUCUGUCACUGACGCUGAGGCUCGAAAGCGUGGGUAGCGAACAGGAUUAGAUACCCUGGUAGUCCACGCCGUAAACGAUGAGUGUUAGGUGUUAGGCCCUUUCCGGGGCUUAGUGCCGGAGCUAACGCAAUAAGCACUCCGCCUGGGGAGUACGACCGCAAGGUUGAAACUCAAAGGAAUUGACGGGGGCCCGCACAAGCGGUGGAGCAUGUGGUUUAAUUCGAAGCA
rnacentral:rRNA from 1 species